UCAUUAUUUUAGGAUAGCACCAGUGCAGUUCACAAAAAUCACCACAGGAGGGCGACAUGUUUAAAAUCAUUCAAAUAGAUUUAAAGUUGUGUAACACCAAAAUCACCACACGCGGACGAAUAUUUUAAAAUCAAUAGAUUUGCAGUGGUGUAAUUCAGAAAUAUCUCCACAGGAGAGCGAACAGUUUAAUUCAUUCAAUCAGAUUUGAAGUUGUGUGACACCUAAAUCACCACAAGAGGGCGAAUAAUUUAAAUUCAUUAGAUUUGCAAAGGUGUAAUUCAUUAAUAUCUCCACACGAGGGCGAACUUUUAACUUUACAUUAGAAUGGCAGCAGCGCAGUUCACAAACAUCACCACAAGACGGCGAAUAUUUAAAAUUCAUUAGAUUUGCAAAGGUGUAAUUCAGGGAAAUCUCCACAGGAGGAUACACUCACAAACAUUUUAUGAUUUUUAUUUAUGAUAUUGUUAGAUGAGAUGUGCGUCGACUCCACAGGAUCAGUGAAGUGUUGUGGACUGUUAGCCUGUUGAACAGAAGCAGAGACGUGUGGCCAGACACUGACUGUAAUGAUGAUGAUCAUCUGCUGCUGCACAGACUCAAGCUUCAAAUAUAACCCCUGCUGGACACGGCUCCGGAAGCUCCAGGGGGAGAUCGAACUGGUAUCCCCCCUUCUUCAAGCACGCCUCACACUCAUAGGAAGGUUGGGAUCGAACCAACAACUCCUGAGGUCGUGGGCCAGUACUCUUACCACAGAGCCACAGAUCUCCUAUUUGAACAACUGAUAUUUGACUGCUGAACUGUGUGUGAGAGCUGUCAUUGGUCAAUAAAACAAAUCUGAGAUUUAAA